GACGAACGCUGGCGGCGUGCUUAACACAUGCAAGUCGAACGGAAAGGCCAUGCUUUUGUGGGGUGCUCGAGUGGCGAACGGGUGAGUAACACGUGAGUAUCCUGCCCUUGACUUUGGGAUAACUUCAGGAAACUGGGGCUAAUACCGGAUAGGAGCUCCUGCUGCAUGGUGGGGGUUGGAAAGUUUCGGCGGUUGGGGAUGGACUCGCGGCUUAUCAGCUUGUUGGUGGGGUAGUGGCUUACCAAGGCUUUGACGGGUAGCCGGCCUGAGAGGGUGACCGGCCACAUUGGGACUGAGAUACGGCCCAGACUCCUACGGGAGGCAGCAGUGGGGAAUAUUGCACAAUGGGCGGAAGCCUGAUGCAGCAACGCCGCGUGCGGGAUGACGGCCUUCGGGUUGUAAACCGCUUUCGCCUGUGACGAAGCGUGAGUGACGGUAAUGGGUAAAGAAGCACCGGCUACCUACGUG
rnacentral:rRNA from 1 species